UACGUAGGUGGCAAGCGUUGUCCGGAAUUAUUGGGCGUAAAGCGCGCGCAGGUGGUUCUUUAAGUCUGAUGUGAAAGCCCACGGCUCAACCGUGGAGGGUCAUUGGAAACUGGGGAACUUGAGUGCAGAAGAGGAAAGUGGAAUUCCAAGUGUAGCGGUGAAAUGCGUAGAGAUUUGGAGGAACACCAGUGGCGAAGGCGACUUUCUGGUCUGCAACUGACACUGAGGCGCGAAAGCGUGGGGAGCAAACAGG
rnacentral:rRNA from 1 species